rnacentral:rRNA from 1 species
UGAACGCUGGCGGCAUGCCUUACACAUGCAAGUCGAACGGUAACAGGUUAAGCUGACGAGUGGCGAACGGGUGAGUAAUACAUCGGAACGUGCCCAGUAGUGGGGGAUAGCCCGGCGAAAGCCGGAUUAAUACCGCAUACGACCUAAGGGUGAAAGGGGGGGAUCGCAAGACCUCUCGCUAUUGGAGCGGCCGAUGUCAGAUUAGCUAGUUGGUGGGGUAAAAGCUCACCAAGGCGACGAUCUGUAGCUGGUCUGAGAGGACGACCAGCCACACUGGGACUGAGACACGGCCCAGACUCCUACGGGAGGCAGCAGUGGGGAAUUUUGGACAAUGGGCGCAAGCCUGAUCCAGCCAUGCCGCGUGCGGGAAGAAGGCCUUCGGGUUGUAAACCGCUUUUGUCAGGGAAGAAAUCCUUUGGGUUAAUACCUCGGGGGGAUGACGGUACCUGAAGAAUAAGCACCGGCUAACUACGUG